rnacentral:lncRNA from 1 species
GUGGCGGGUUAACGGCCGCGGACCUGGCAGUUCUCAAGCUUCUACAAGGGAGAAGCCCCCCUGCUAGGGUCUCGAUUUCCCGCUAACCAACAAAGGGCCAUUUGCCUCUCAUGGCCUGCGCGGGAGGGUUGCCAUGUUUUUUAGAUUAAGUACUGCACGACUGCUUGCUUCUGAAACUGUCACAGAAACUGCCUCAGCUCUCUGCAGGGUGGACACACAAGAGCAGAAUCUCCGUGGGACAUCUCUUUGGAGCAACAAUAUUACUACAGUAUUUGGAAGAAACAAAUUUAAAUAAUUUCUAAGGUAAAGAAUGGAACAUUUAAGACAAGGCUGGAAAGUCAUCUGCCUUUAAUAACUGUCAUCUGUGCCUCACAUGUCAGACUUUCUCCAAGAAAAAAACUCUAAGGAGAACUUAUUUCCAUUCUUAUAAAUAGUAAAAAUAAUAAAUCAUAUCAAGUCAA